UACGGGGGGGGCAAGCGUUGUUCGGAAUUACUGGGCGUAAAGGGCUCGUAGGUGGCCAACUAAGUCAGACGUGAAAUCCCUCGGCUUAACCGGGGAACUGCGCCUGAUACUGGAUGGCUUGAGUUUGGGAGAGGGAUGCGGAAUUCCAGGUGUAGCGGUGAAAUGCGUAGAUAUCUGGAGGAACACCGGUGGCGAAGGCGGCAUCCUGGACCAACACUGACACUGAGGAGCGAAAGCCAGGGGAGCAAACAGG
rnacentral:rRNA from 1 species